GACGAACGCUGGCGGCGUGCUUAACACAUGCAAGUCGAACGGUGAAGCGCCUUCCUUUUUGGUAGGUGCGGAGGAGUGGCGAACGGGUGGUUAACACGUGAGUAACCUGCCCCCUUCUUCUGGAUAACCGCAUGAAAGUGUGGCUAAUACGGGAUAUUCUGGGUCUGUCGCAUGAUGGGUCUGAGAAGGUUAUUGUUUCGGUUGGGGAUGGGCUCGCUGCCUAUCAGCUUGUUGGUGGGGUGGUAGCCUACCAAGGCGGUGACGGGUAGCCGGCCUGAGAGGGUGUAGGGGCACACGGGGAGUGGACGACGACCAGGAGACUGAGGGGCGGCAGCUGUGGGGAAUAGUGGACACUGGGGGGAAGACUGGAGCAGCGAGGCCGCGUGAGGGAUGGAGGCCUGCGGGUAGGGAGCAGCUUUCGGGAGUGAAGAAGGCCUGCAGCGGUUGUGAGUGGGUUGACGGUAGCUGGAGAAGAAGCGACGGCUAAAUACGUG
rnacentral:rRNA from 1 species